AUGUGUGUGUCUGAAGGUGGAUAUUGUUAUGCAAGGAAGAGAAGUGAAUAUACAGGAAAUGAGAUCCUUAAAGAGGUUGCCAUCCAGAUGUUAAAUCAAAGAGAUUAUGAUUCAUUCAACCAAGUUGUACUUUUGAAGGCCUGUCCAAGUCAUGGUGCCUUUGAGGUUUUGCCUGUUACUAUUCAGAACUUGUUUCAAAAUCUCAUUCUCACUCGUCUCAAAGAAAUGCACAAGAAGGAGGAAACACUGCUCCCGUUGAAGGCAACCCUUGCACAACCUGGUGAAUCACAUCAAGGUUGAAACAUUGGCCCUCCAAUCAACGAUUAGUUCUAGGAGAGGGGAUGAGGUGCUGUCUUCUCCAACAUCUCCAACUGCGCCUGAACAGUCACUUGUCAUGUCGGUGCAUAUAGACAAUGAAGCAUCAGUCAACCAAACUACACUGGAGUGGAGCACAAAGAGUCCUGUGAUGGAAGAAGAAGAGGAAGAGAAAGAAGAAUCAGAUUCCUAAAGGAGGGAAAAAGCCAGGGUUCCUUACAUAAAUUAAAUUUCUAAGUCUCAGGCUCUUUCUCUCCAAGGAAAUCAUCUUGCCAUGAGCCCUAGGGCCUGCUUGAAUGGAGAGCAAGAACUAUAGGAGGAUGUGUAGUUGCAAAAUUGCACCAUCAAUAACUCAAUCUUCAGAACGUUAUGACAUGCAGAAAAUCAAAGAUGCUGUGUCUUAGCAUUGAGCAAUAUGGGUGGUGCUAUGCCUGCAGUCUGGUCAAAUUCAGUAACUGUUCAAAACAAAAUCUCUCCUGGGAUACUAUUGAGAAAAUCUGGCAUUUGCAAAAAGGGCAGAGUUUAAAUAUGAGCCAGUCUUUCCAAUCAACAAUACCUAUUUUAAGAAAACCAACUAACAGCCGUUUGCAUGCCAUUGAAUCCUUGUGAGCAGUGAGGCCAUAGUCUAGGACAGAAAGAUGACAUGGGGAAGGACUGAGGGCCAUCUGAGAACAAAAGCUGUUGCUACUUCUCAGAGGCAUUGAGACACACUGCAUGCUGUAGACUGCUUUGUGUAGCUGUUAUCACAUCUUGCUUGAGACGUCACUGGUAGAAUGUUCUUAGAAAUAAAUUAUAGAUAAAUAGCCA